rnacentral:rRNA from 1 species
CCUACGGGUGGCAGCAGUGAGGAAUAUUGGUCAAUGGGCGGGAGCCUGAACCAGCCAAGUCGCGUGAGGGAAGACGGUCCUACGGAUUGUAAACCUCUUUUGCCGGGGAGCAACGGGGUCCUUGCGAGGGCCCGAUGAGAGUACCCGGAGAAAAAGCAUCGGCUAACUCCGUGCCAGCAGCCGCGGUAAUACGGAGGAUGCGAGCGUUAUCCGGAUUUAUUGGGUUUAAGGGGAGCGUAGGCCGCAUGUCAAGCGUGCUGUGAAAUGUCCGGGCUCAACCCGGGCCUUGCAGCGCGAACUGGCGUGCUUGAGUCCGCGGAAAGCAGGCGGAAUUCGUCGUGUAGCGGUGAAAUGCUUAGAUAUGACGAAGAACCCCGAUUGCGAAGGCAGCUUGCUGCAGCGGAACUGACGCUGAUGCUCGAAAGCGCGGGUAUCGAACAGGAUUAGAUACCCGUGUAGUC